AAAUUGCCCAUUUCCUUUUUGUUUCCCAGAACAGCACAGAAGUUUGAGAGAAGCAGUGGCUGUAAGAAAAUGACUUUCCUAUGAACAAUGGGAAAGAAAUAGCUGAGAUCAUGAUGGGUGGAUCCUCCUUUACCCUACUGUCCAGAUCAGCUUCCUAAAAUAACUUUCCCAGGGAAUGAUAACUUCUUUCAGUGAAACACAGAUUUCAGGGGAGAUCCUGAUCAUAAGGGAGAAGACCGUGUGUCAGAAUGCAUCUGAGCUGCUCUCUGCCCUGUUGGUGCCAGCUGAGAUGGAAGCAGGUGAGUGCCUCCCCGUGUGCCUGUUGCAGAGAAAUCACCUGUAGCUGCAGAGGAGUGUGCAGGGGAUGAUGAGAGGUGAUCUCUGCUCUGAGGUUCCUUCCACCCCUUAUCGUCUCCUGGCACUGAGGAACCUGCUGGCCUUUUCUGGCUCACACACCAUGCUUGGCUGACAGAUUUUCAAGUAUCACACAUCCCACUGCUGCCUGAACUCCUGCAGAGACCAGGGUGGUGACAACAGGGGUCAUAUCCCCAUGACAUAAUCACCUGCUGCAGAAAUCUGCGGAUAUUUAUAACUUUAACAGUUCUUCCCUCCCCAGCAACAUCGACUCAGAAUUUAAAUCAAACAUGGCUGUGUAGAAUCCCCUGUGCUUCACAAGGGCCAUCAGACCUGUGUCCAUGUAGGGUCCCCUGAGCUUCACAAGGAUUACAAGGACCAUCAGACCUGUGUCCAGGUAGACUCCCCUGUGCUUUACAAGGACCAUUCACUCGGUCUGAGAUGCUGCUGCAGAGGACAAAUUAUUUUUGACAGUAAGCAGCUCCAGACCACUCAGCCUAUUGUUACCUGAGUGUGUGGUGUUUAUCAGGUGUAGAUAGUGUUGUCUUGAGCACAGCACACACCAGCAUGGGGCUGAGGUUGGAGGAGGUAACAAGAUGCCAGAAAGUGGGAGAGAGGCUGGUGUGAGAGUGGGAGACGUGAGGACAAGAC
rnacentral:lncRNA from 1 species